rnacentral:rRNA from 1 species
UGAGGAAUAUUGGUCAAUGGGCGGGAGCCUGAACCAGCCAAGUCGCGUGAGGGACGACGGCCCUACGGGUUGUAAACCUCUUUUGCCGGGGGACAAACGGCGGCACGCGUGCCGUCCUGAGGGUACCCGGAGAAAAAGCAUCGGCUAACUCCGUGCCAGCAGCCGCGGUAAUACGGAGGAUGCGAGCGUUAUCCGGAUUUAUUGGGUUUAAAGGGUGCGUAGGCGGGAUGCCAAGUCAGCGGUCAAAUACGGGGGCUCAACCUGCGUCCGCCGUUGAAACUGGCGUUCUUGAGUGGGCGAGAA